rnacentral:rRNA from 1 species
UACGUAGGGGGCAAGCGUUGUCCGGAAUCAUUGGGCGUAAAGAGCGUGUAGGCGGCCCGAUAAGUCCGCUGUGAAACUCCAGGCUCAACCUGGAGACGCCACCCGAUACUGCUGUGACUCGAGUCCGGUAGGGGACCACGGAAUACCUGGUGUAGCGGUGAAAUGCGCAGAUAUCAGGUGGAACACCGGUGGCGAAGGCGGUGGUCUGGGCCGGAACUGACGCUGAGGAGCGAAAGCGUGGGGAGCGAACAGG